UCCUCCCACUAACGUUAAAAAGUACUUGUGUGUAUGAAUACCUUCAAUAUUCUUUGAAAAUACCUUCUGUAUAGUUGUAUUUCUGUAGAAAGUGUUUUUUUCUGAGCCAGAAAUAUCCUAUUUAUCUCAUAUUUUGUUACUUUUAUUGCAAAAUAAAUACUUUUAAAUCCAAAAACAUUGUUCCACUGACUUGACAAUACCUCUUGUCCAAAUGAGGGCUACACAGCUCAAUACUUGAAGGUUCCUGUUCUCCUCAUCCACCAUACCACAUUAUACAUCCGCCCCCUUCAGUGUAAUGUCAGCACAGAACAGGUAAUGCUUGAUUUCUCAAUGAAUGCAAUUGUUAAAGAAAUCCUGUGGACCAGUGGUGUUGCUGUUUAAGUCUUCAGAUUUAUAGAUGGAGUUACAUAAAUGCAUUAAUUUGUGUUAUUUGUUUGCACUUGUAGGAAAUAAUUGGUAGACCUUCAGACACUGGACCCUUAACACCAUGUGUUCUGUGUGGAGAGGAAUUUCCAUUUUCCCACUUAAGGGAACACAAUAGUCCUAAUGGGGAUGUUUGUACAUCAGCUAAAAAGCUUUGUUUUCUCACUGUUAAUGAUGAUCUAUUCAGGCCAGAUGUUGUUUUUUGCAAGUGAUUGUAUGACCAACUUUAUCAGUGAAAAGCUAGAUUAUUUGUUUUAUAAAAGUGGUUCUAUUUUUAUUAUGUGUGGGGAGAUAUUGCAAUAUUCUAUUGACUGAACACCCUACUCCACAAGCAACACAACAAUGAAGAGAGCGGUAUUUCCUAUCAUAAAAUGAUAGCAUGGCUUACAUGCCCAUGCACUCAUUCAGGUGCGUGACCAGAGUGUGAAGGAAAAGGCUGGGAUUCUUUUUUCAUGUAUACUUGUAGCUACUUAAAAUUAAGCUUUAUUUUGCUUAUGGCUCCAAGAUGGCCUACUCUGCUGUUAAGAGAAAUUAGAAAGGUGGAAUUAAACCAAUUUACUAUACAUAUUUAAUAUUUAAUACAUUAGUUCAAAUUCAUUACACACUAACGGAGAUGUGGUAUUUUAUCCAGAUACUAGUGCUGGUAACAGAAUUGUGACCAAAUUCCAGAACAGAUAUGGUAAUUGCAUAUAUGGCUUUUUAGGUAACGAAAGGCAUGGCAGUUGUGCAUGGCUAUAUUGCCAUGUGUGUUAUGACCAUUACGGACUAACUGAUGAUAUAAUGAUUCCCCUUAAGUGAGUUACAGGGUGACAGGACCCAAAACAGGGAGAGGGAAAGUGGGACAGGGACAGCCAGUGCCUCUGCCUCAGCAUCAGCCUCACAUGACCCAGGACUAGAUGUGGAUGAGGGUAGAGUUUCUGUACUUUUAAAGAGUAGUGACGUUUUAUGUUCUUUAUUUGUUUUGGAAGUUGAAAUAUUUCAUGUGAAAAUGCAAAAACUAUUUGGUUCUUGAAAUAUUCUGAAUGCUACCACUGUAGUUGGUCUGUCACAUAGUUUUUUUUCACAUGCUAAUUUAUGUCAUUCCAUCUCAGCAGGAGCAGCAAGUGCCACUGGAAACUCACCCACAGAGGCCACCAUUGAUGGUAAGUACAUUGCUAUAAGGCAUGGUAGAGCUAAUCAUUAAAAUCAUUGGUCCUGCAUGUUUUAGUUACCCCCCCCCUGCAUGUUAUGAAAUUGCUUAAGUAUGAGAUUUGAGACCACCCUUGAACACACGUCAUGUCACUUAGUAAUUCGUUGUCAUUCUAUAUCAGUAGCAACAGGAAUUGCACCUGGUCCUGGAAUCCCACCUACAGAGGUCCCUACUGAUUGUAAGUGUGUUGCUAUAAAGCAUAGUAUUGCAAAUUAUAAGAACUUGUACCAUAUGUUCAGGUUUCUCCAUGCUGCAUCUUCAUAACAUCACAGAGCUGCUUUUAAAAGGAUAAUCAAAGAUUCAUGUAUGUACUGUGUGUUUUAAAUUGAGCGAGUCAAUGUACAUGCAUAAUCUUAAAGGUUCAGUUACUGUUUCCUAAUGUAAUUUACCCUUUUUUUAAGCUUGGGUUACACAACCGGACCCAGAGAAAGCAGCCCAGCUUUUCACACAGGCAGCUCUUGAAAACAAACAACAUAUGGAGCCCCUCACAUUCACCCUGAGUCUCAUGGACUCUGAAGAAGAGAGACACAGAGCGAUCAUCUCAUUACACAAGAGGCCCAGGGUGGAGUGGGCAAGGCCCCUAACUUGCAGAUUGAUUGGUGAAAGUUUUUUACUAUUCCUGCAAAUACAUUCAUAUGUGAAUUUAUUAUGUUAGAUUUGUGUAGCUGUGACUUAGAUGGUGUAGUUUUUCCAAAAACCUGUGGUGUAACUUAUAAUAAAAGCACAUUUUUGACUUAGGUGACUCUGCUAUUGGUGAAGGCGUAAAACGGCAUGUGCUGUCCACUGUGAUGGGAACUGUCCAGAGUGGUUUCCCUCUGGAUGAAAAAAAGGGAGAGUGCUUCUCUUCGAGGGAGAGAGUGACCACCUUAUUCCCUCAACAAGUCAAGAGCUCCUGGAGGGUGAUUUACUUGUGACUGCAGGAAAGAUGGUUGGUCAUUCAUUCUUGAAUGGAGGCCCAUGUCUCACUGGUCUAAGCACAGCAAUCAUCCAUGUACUUUUUGGCGGCAGUCCAGAGAUGGCAACCAUAUCCCUGCCAGACUGUGUGGAUCAGGAUGUCCGGGAUGUCUUGGCACUGGUCUGGAGUAACAUGUUUUAUUUAUAUAAUGUAGUGUUUCCAAACUGCACUAUUAUCAAAUUGUUGUAAAAGUGUAUUGCCAAGAACCUACUUUUUUGAUUGCCUAUAUUACAAAUAUUGUAUUUGGCUCUUCUGUGCUGAUGUCACUGAUCAGUUGAAAGAACCAGGGACCUGUCAGAAGAAGACAAAUCCCAGAUUCUCUCUGUGACACUGCCCUGGGACCUGCCUGGUGUCACACUGAACAACAGGUGGUGGCUGAGGGAGAAAAUACUGCUCCAUGCUGUAAGCUAUCUAUGAUUAUGGUCUUUGUAAUUUGGCCUGUUCUUAAAGAGACAAUAGCAUGCUUUUUUCAGUUAAAGCCCAAAGUACAAACCAGAGGGAGUAGCACUGAGCUAGUCAGUAGGGGAGUCAAAAGGAGCCCUAACAUUGUUUCAGACUAUGGAUGAAUAGUAAUGAAUGAGUUUUGGAAUAUUAAGCAUGUAAAUGUAUCCUAGUAGACCCCACUGAUUUUGUUUAAUUUUACAGGUUCUUGGACGGACGACCCAGCAGGUUAAACAAAUCCGACGAGGCCUGAAAGACACGGGUAUCUGGGAGUUUUUUAGCUCCAGGCCAGAUGCUGUGCAAGUCCUAUUCCCAAGGGCCUGCAAUGCAGAGAUCACGCCACAAAUGAUUCUGGACAAUAUCAACUGGCCAAGGGACGAGGACAUCGAUGAGGACAUCGUCAGCCUGGAGGACCAUUGCAGAGUAAUGACCUUCCUCCGGAAAUUUAUAGAGGAUGGUACAUUGCCUUUGUUCUGGAGUAAGACUCGCUCUAUGUAGUGUUUGAGUGUCAGUGUGUGCGUAUCGAAUUUGUUUCCUGUGUGUAUUUUUGUAAGGGACUCCGGAAGUCCUGAAGACUUUGCUCACAUUCUGGACUGGUUGGGGUGUUGUUUCCUCAAACUUGGAGGUGGAAAUCAUCAAUUGUGCCCUACCACAGUCAUCAACUUGUUUUUUGACUCUGAAGCUGUCAAAGAAUACAACAAACUAUGAAAACUUUUUUCAUGACCUGAUGGCAAGCAUAUCCUCCUCCAUCAUUCUCUUCAUUUAGUUGUAUGGCGUCACAAUAUUCAUAGGUUAAGACAGAAACUUGUUAAUCCCAGAACCCCCAACAUUUGAUGUGCAUUGUUUUUGAUUCAGCCGUUGUUAAC